UGGGGAAUAUUGCACAAUGGGCGGAAGCCUGAUGCAGCGACGCCGCGUGAGGGAUGACGGCCUUCGGGUUGUAAACCUCUUUCAGUAGGGACGAAGCGUAAGUGACGGUACCUGCAGAAGAAGCACCGGCUAACUACGUGCCAGCAGCCGCGGUAAUACGUAGGGUGCGAGCGUUGUCCGGAAUUACUGGGCGUAAAGAGCUCGUAGGCGGUUUGUCACGUCGUCUGUGAAAUCCUAGGGCUUAACCCUGGACGUGCAGGCGAUACGGGCUGACUUGAGUACUACAGGGGAGACUGGAAUUUCUGGUGUAGCGGGGGAAUGCACAGAUAUCAGGAAGAACACCGAUGGCGAAGGCAGGUCUCUGGGUAGUAACUGACGCUGAGGAGCGAAAGCAUGGGUAGCGAACAGG
rnacentral:rRNA from 1 species